rnacentral:rRNA from 1 species
UAUUAAAAACAUGGCCUUUUGAUAAUAAUUUAAGGUCUGACCUGCCCUAUGAUUUUAUAUUAAAUGGCUGCGGUAAUUUGACCGUGCAAAGGUAGCAUAAUCAUUAGUUUUUUAAUUGAGAGCUGGAAUGAAAGGUUUGAUGAGAAAAUAACUGUCUCUGUUUAAAUUAAUUAGAAUUUUAUUUUUAAGUAAAAAAGCUUAAAUAUAUUUAGAAGACGAGAAGACCCUAUAGAGUUUUAUAUCUUUUUAUUAUGGAGGUGAUUUAGUAUCGGAGAGGUUUUAUAAUAGGAAGGUAUUUAGUUGGGGUGAUUGAAAAAUUAAAUAAACUUUUUUUUUAUUAUUACAUUGAUUUAUGAGUAAUUGAUCCUUAGUUUAAGAUUAUAAGAUAAAAUUACCUUAGGGAUAACAGCGUAAUUCUUUUUGAGAGUUCAAAUCGAAAGGAGAGAUUGCGACCUCGAUGUUGGAUUAAAGUUUACUUUUGGUGUAGGAGCUAAAAUGAUUGGGUCUGUUCGACCCUUAAAACUUUACAUGAUCUGAGUUUAGACCGGCGUGAGCCAGGU